AGCAGCCGCGGUAAUUCCAGCUCCAAUAGCGUAUAUUAAAGUUGUUGCAGUUAAAAAGCUCGUAGUUGAAUUUCGGGAUCAUCAGGUUGGUCGUGCCUUUGGUAUGUACUUUCCUCGAUGGUUCCUCCUUCUUGAAGAUCCGUAAUGCCAUUAAUUUGGUGUUGCGGGGAAUCAGGACUGUUACUUUGAAAAAAUUAGAGUGUUUAAAGCAGGCAAUCGCUUGAAUACAUUAGCAUGGAAUAAUGAAAUAGGACGUUCGAUCCUAUUUUGUUGGUUUCUAGGAUUGACGUAAUGAUUAAUAGGGAUAGUUGGGGGCAUUAGUAUUCAAUUGUCAGAGGUGAAAUUCUUGGAUUUAUUGAAGACUAACUACUGCGAAAGCAUUUGCCAAGGAUGUUUUCACUAAUCAAGAACGAAAGUUAGGGGAUCGAAGACGAUCAGAUACCGUCGUAGUCUUAACCAUGAACUAUGCCGACUAGGGAUCGGAUGAUGUUAAUUUUUUAAUGA
rnacentral:rRNA from 1 species